AUGCGGCUCUGCUCUGCUGUCAAAAGCUGUUCUCAAAACCUAAGCGCCACGAAUCAAAAUUUUCCUCGCAGUCGUGAAUCUGUCCGAAAUGCCGCAUCCUCGUCGUAUCUAUCCCUCGCGCAACUGCGAUUUGCUCUUCGCUCGUGCUCUCGUCGACUCAUCCGACUCCGCGUGUUUUAAGUCGUGAAUUGUUCCUUAUUUUUAGACUCUGCACCGACUGCGUAGUUUAAUGUCGGCCAAUUGCGGUCUUGUGUUUUGAAGUCUAGAUCGUAGAGUUUCAAGCUCGAUGCGAAUGUUUUAUGUAGUCAAAGUAGAAUGCCAAGUUGUAUGAUCUGGCAGUCUAGAAAACAGCGUCAAAGCCAGAACCUCGCAUGUAUUUCUCUACCGCAUCUUUCCGUAUAAUAUCGUGUUUCAGAAGAUAAAAGAUCAAAUAAUGUCAAAUGAUAUAAACAUUAUUUAAACUCUAUGCAAACAACGGAGACAGCAAUUAACAAGUCUUUGUCGUGUGUGGUUCAUUGCGUAUCGUAACAAUCUGAUUUCCAACAAAUCGAAGUAAGGAAAUCAUUCCUUAGAAGUUUUCAGUUAAUCAUUUCUUAAACGUCAAUUACUGUAAACAUUUUCAUGAACCAGUGUUGAAAAAUUAAACUAAUCAGUGAAGCCUUCCGAAAAUGGAAACGUGAGCGCAAUUCGAAACUCAAUAGUAUCUCUCUUUACGGAGUGCACUUCCUCCACAACUAAUAAUCUUUCAGAUAAUACAACCACCCCCUCAAUGAAGAUAACCGAUCUUGAGACCAGAUGCAUGAUUGCCAACCACAGAAAGGAAAAGGCUACAUAGCAGGUGCAACCCUACGUCUACUUGUGUUUUUUUUCUAUACUCCUUCCAUUCUCAGAAGAUACGGUUGUUUUCUUCCCACCAGAACAAUCAUCUAGUGGGUGGAGUAUUUCUGUUCAUGGAUAAAGAAACAUCACGUUUUAGGAGUGUCAUAGAGUCGCAGUGGGUGUACACGUGUUUUCUAUCUAAUCAGAGUAAGAAGAAUAACAAACUAUAAUUAAGAAAGAUAUCUAUCAUUUUGUUUGGAAUCGAAGAUCUUGGGCUGGACCUCGAACAUUGGAAUUGAGGCAUUCCCUCCAUUCUUCAAAACCCUAAAUAUGGCAUUUCUCUCUACUGUGACUUAUUGAGCUUGUGCUAGUGAGGAAAGGCGUUGCUGUUUAGGGCAACAUAUCAAUUCAUCCAUAAAUGCAGGGCUCUGUUUUUGGAUUAGGCGUGCUCCCCAGAACACUGGGUUUCGCUGACUGGACUCCGAAUCAUGUUGGAUAUUCAAUGCGUGGUUCAGGACACGGUGGUCAAUGGAGAUGGAUGAAAAGGAACCGAGGAUGGAAUAAUGGAUGUAAGCACACAGAUUUCAUUCUACGAAACAAGUUGUCUGUCUCCA
rnacentral:lncRNA from 1 species